AUUGAACGCUGGCGGCAUGCUUUACACAUGCAAGUCGAACGGCAGCGCGGUCUUCGGCCUCUCGUCGAGUUGCGAACGGGUGGGUAAUUCAGCGGAACGUCCCCAUCUGUUGGGGAUAGCGCGGCGAAAGCCGGAUUAAUACCGCAUACGACCUUAGGGUGAAAGCGGGGGACCGAAAGGCCUCCCGCCCUUGGGGGGUCCGAUGUCGGGUUAGCGAGUUGGUGGGGUAAAGGCUUACCAAGGCAACGAUCCGUAGCUGGUCUGAGAGGACGAGCAGCCACACUGGGACUGAGACACGGCCCAGACUCCUACGGGAGGCAGCAGUGGGGAAUUUUGGCCAAUGGGGGCAAUCCUGAUCCAGCCAUGCCGCGUGGGGGAAGAAGGCCUUCGGGUUGUAAACCGCUUUUGUUCGGGAAGAAAACCUGUGGGCUAAUACCCCGGGGGGAUGACGGUACCGGAAGAAUAAGCACCGGCUAACUACGUG
rnacentral:rRNA from 1 species